rnacentral:tRNA from 1 species
CGCGGGGUGGAGCAGCCAGGUAGCUCGUUGGGCUCAUAACCCAAAGGUCACAGGUUCAAAUCCUGUCCCCGCAACCA